rnacentral:lncRNA from 1 species
GUACUGUUAUACCACUGUCCCAGGUUAGGGGGAGGGGGAGGAUCCCGCUAACAUGUUUAACCCCGCAACAUUAUUUAAGUAUGUGCCUGUCCCAAAUCAGGAGCCUGUAAUUCAGUGGUUGUCGUUUGUUUAUGUGUUACAUAUCAUUUGUUUUUCGUUCAUUUUUUUUCUCUCGUUUGAAUUGUUUUACAUUGUCUUAUCGGGGCCUUUAAUAGCUGACUAUGCGGUAUGGGCUUUGCUCAUUGUUGAAGGCCAUAAUGUGACCUAUAGUUGUUAAUGUCUGUGUCAUUUUGGUCUUUUGUGGAUAGUUGUCUCAUUGGCAAUCAUACCACAUUUUCUUUUUUAUAUACUAGUAUCCUUUCAAACCAAAUGAUUAUGAAGAGCCUGUUGUAAUAAGCUCUUAUACCCCACUAGUCCUAUAUCAUAUGACUUCGCAUUCUUAUUCAAUUUUUAACGUUUAUA